CGCCCCUCAAGCCCCCUGUGGGUUUGGUGUUGGGGAUCGGCGAAGCCUGCCUGGCUAGCACGCGCCGUCCCCUAAAUUCAUUGGCGGUCUCGCCGUGGCCCUCCUCUGCGCAGUAGCAGCACAAAACUCGCAACAGGAGCCCGGCGCGGUCCACAGCCGUAAAACCCCCCCAACUUUUUACAG
rnacentral:misc_RNA from 1 species